UACGUAGGGUGCGAGCGUUAAUCGGAAUUACUGGGCGUAAAGCGUGCGCAGGCGGUUCGUUGUGUCGGCGGUGAAAGCCCCGGGCUUAACCUGGGAAUGGCCGUUGAAACUGGCGAAUUGGAGUGUGGCAGAGGGGGGUGGAAUUCCGCGUGUAGCAGUGAAAUGCGUAGAGAUGCGGAGGAACACCGAUGGCGAAGGCAGCCCCCUGGGCUAACACUGACGCUCAGGCACGAAAGCGUGGGGAGCAAACAGG
rnacentral:rRNA from 1 species